rnacentral:rRNA from 1 species
AGAGUUUGAUCCUGGCUCAGGAUGAACGCUGGCGGCGUGCCUAACACAUGCAAGUCGUACGAGCUCGAUCUUCGGAACGGGUUAGUGGCGCACGGGUGAGUAACACGUAGGUGACCUACCCCAGAGUGGGGGAUAACUUCUCGAAAGAGAGGCUAAUACCGCAUACACUCGGUCAUUCAUUUGGCCGAGCAAAGCUCUGGCGCUUUGGGACGGGCCUGCGUCCGAUUAGCUAGUUGGUAGGGUAAUGGCUUACCAAGGCUUUGAUCGGUAGCUGGUCUGAGAGGACGAUCAGCCACACUGGCACUGACACACGGGCCAGACUCCUACGGGAGGCAGCAGUGAGGAAUAUUGGGCAAUGGGCGAAAGCCUGACCCAGCAACGCCGCGUGAGGGAUGAGGGCCUUCGGGUUGUAAACCUCUUUCUGGGAGAAGAGACAAGGACGGUAUCCCAGGAAUAAGUCUCGGCUAACUACGUG